UACGUAGGGCGCAAGCGUUGUCCGGAAUUAUUGGGCGUAAAGAGCUCGUAGGCGGCCUGUUACGUCUGCUGUGAAAUCCCGGGGCUUAACCCCGGGCGUGCAGUGGAUACGGGCAGGCUGGAGGCAGGCAGGGGGAGAACGGAACGUUCCCGGUGUAGCGGUGAAAUGCGCAGAUAUCGGGAGGAACACCGGUGGCGAAGGCGGUUCUCUGGGCCUGUACUGACGCUGAGGAGCGAAAGCGUGGGGAGCGAACAGG
rnacentral:rRNA from 1 species